GGGCAACCUGGCGGCGAGUGGCGAACGGGUGAGUAAUAUAUCGGAACGUACCCAAGAGUGGGGGAUAACGUAGCGAAAGUUACGCUAAUACCGCAUACGAUCUAAGGAUGAAAGCAGGGGAUCUUCGGACCUUGUGCUCCUGGAGCGGCCGAUAUCUGAUUAGCUAGUUGGUGAGGUAAAGGCUCACCAAGGCUACGAUCAGUAGCUGGUCUGAGAGGACGACCAGCCACACUGGAACUGAGACACGGUCCAGACUCCUACGGGAGGCAGCAGUGGGGAAUUUUGGACAAUGGGCGAAAGCCUGAUCCAGCAAUGCCGCGUGAGUGAAGAAGGCCUUCGGGUUGUAAAGCUCUUUUGUCAGGGAAGAAACGGUGGAGGCUAAUAUCCUUCGCUAAUGACGGUACCUGAAGAAUAAGCACCGGCUAACUACGUGCCAGCAGCCGCGGUAAUACGUAGGGUGCAAGCGUUAAUCGGAAUUACUGGGCGUAAAGCGUGCGCAGGCGGUUUUGUAAGUCUGACGUGAAAUCCCCGGGCUCAACCUGGGAAUUGCGUUGGAGACUGCAAGGCUAGAAUCUGGCAGAGGGGGGUAGAAUUCCACGUGUAGCAGUGAAAUGCGUAGAGAUGUGGAGGAACACCGAUGGC
rnacentral:rRNA from 1 species